UACGUAGGGUGCAAGCGUUGUCCGGAAUUAUUGGGCGUAAAGAGCUCGUAGGCGGUUCGUCACGUCGGCUGUGAAAUCCCGAGGCUCAACCUCGGGUCUGCAGUCGAUACGGGCGGACUUGAGUACUGCAGGGGAGACUGGAAUUCCUGGUGUAGCGGUGAAAUGCGCAGAUAUCAGGAGGAACACCGGUGGCGAAGGCGGGUCUCUGGGCAGUAACUGACGCUGAGGAGCGAGAGCGUGGGGAGCGAACAGG
rnacentral:rRNA from 1 species